rnacentral:rRNA from 1 species
CAGCAGCCGCGGGAAUACGUAGGGGGCAAGCGUUAUCCGGAAUUACUGGGUGUAAAGGGAGCGUAGACGGUUAAACAAGUCUGAAGUGAAAUGCCGGGGCUCAACCCCGGAGCUGCUUUGGGAACUGUAGAACUGGAGUGUCGGAGGGGUAAGCGGAAUUCCCAGUGUAGCGGUGAAAUGCGUAGAUAUUGGGAGGAACACCGGCGGCGAAGGCGGCUUACUGGACGACAACUGACGUUGAGGCUCGAAGGCGUGGGUAGCAAACAGGAUUAGAUACCCCUGUAGUCCCUGUCUCUUAUAC